CAAUAGCGUAUAUUAAAGUUGUUGCGGUUAAAAAGCUCGUAGUUGGAUUUCUGCCGAGGACGACCGGUCUGCCCACUGGGUGUGUAUCUGGCUCGGCCUGGGCAUCUUCUUGGAGAACGUAUCUGCACUUGACUGUGUGGUGCGGUAUCCAGGACUUUUACUUUGAGGAAAUUAGAGUGUUUCAAGCAGGCACACGCCUUGAAUACAUUAGCAUGGAAUAAUAAGAUAGGACCUCGGUUCUAUUUUGUUGGUUUCUAGAACUGUGGUAAUGAUUAAUAGGGAUAGUUGGGGGCAUUCGUAUUUAACUGCCAGAGGUGAAAUUCUUGGAUUUGUUAAAGACGGACUACUGCGAAAGCAUUUGCCAAGGAUGUUUUCAUUGA
rnacentral:rRNA from 1 species